rnacentral:rRNA from 1 species
UUUGGGCUAAAUCGGUUUGAAAGUCCCAAGACUGGCUACCCACUGAAGCUAAGCAGGGCUGAGCCUGGUCAGUACCUGGAUGGGAGACCACCUGGGAAAACUAGGUUGCUGCUGGAA